rnacentral:rRNA from 1 species
GAGUUUGAUCGUGGCUCAGAUUGAACGCUGGCGGCAUGCCUUACACAUGCAAGUCGAACGGCAGCACGGGUGCUUGCACCUGGUGGCGAGUGGCGAACGGGUGAGUAAUGCAUCGGAACGUACCCGGGAAGUGGGGGAUAACGUAGCGAAAGUUACGCUAAUACCGCAUGUUCUGUGAGCAGGAAAGAGGGGGAGUCGCAAGACCUCUCGCUUUCGGAGCGGCCGAUGUCGGAUUAGCUAGUUGGCGGGGUAAGGCCCACCAAGGCAACGAUCCGUAGCGGGUCUGAGAGGAUGAUCCGCCACACUGGGACUGAGACACGGCCCAGACUCCUACGGGAGGCAGCAGUGGGGAAUUUUGGACAAUGGCGCAAGCCUGAUCCAGCCAUGCCGCGUGAGUGAAGAAGGCCUCGGU